CGGUGAGGCAGUUGGGGAAGGAGCGCCUUUCUUCUCCUGCGCGCCGACUGUUGGUCCGUCGCGACAGCAGACAAAACUGAAGACAGAAAAAACCCCACAAACAAGCAGAAACUAAAGGUGGCUGCAGUAAAAGCCUGUCAAAGUAUGUCAUGGGAGGAAACUUAGCAUUUGGUGAUGUCCAUGGGUUCCAGAUUUCAGGCAGACAUUGACCACAAAGGAUAUGCAUAUUAUGUGGCCCGUCCACGAUUGUCACAGAUUUCCCCUCGCACUGACUGCUGGAGCAUUCAGCACACAAGAACUGACUUUGUUUACUUUUUGACACACGUGUUGUGUUAUGUAUUAUGUCAUGUCUCCUCCCCACCUGCAUUGUUAUUGAUUGUCUCCCUCACGUGUCAUCAUUAUUCACAGCUGUUUAUGUUAUACCUUUAAUUUCGUUGUAUAUUUAAA
ensembl:lncRNA